UACGGGGGGAGCAAGCGUUGUUCGGAAUCACUGGGCGUAAAGGGAGUCUAGGCGGUUUGGUAAGUGGGAUGUGAAAUCCCCGGGCUCACCCCGGGACCUGCAUCCCAAACUGCUGAGCUUGAGUACAGGAGAGGGUGGGGGAAUUCCUGGUGUAGCGGUGAAAUGCGUAGAUAUCUGGAGGAACACCGGUGGCGAAGGCGGCGUUCUGGACUGCUACUGACACUGAGGAACGAAAGCCAGGGGAGCAAACGGG
rnacentral:rRNA from 1 species